UACGAAGGGGGCUAGCGUUGUUCGGAAUUACUGGGCGUAAAGCGCACGUAGGCGGAUAUUUAAGUCAGAGGUGAAAUCCCGGAGCUCAACUUCGGAACUGCCUUUGAUACUGGGUAUCUUGAGUAUGGAAGAGGUAAGUGGAAUUGCGAGUGUAGAGGUGAAAUUCGUAGAUAUUCGCAGGAACACCAGUGGCGAAGGCGGCUUACUGGUCCAUUACUGACGCUGAGGUGCGAAAGCGUGGGGAGCAAACAGG
rnacentral:rRNA from 1 species